rnacentral:rRNA from 1 species
AGGGUUCGAUUCUGGCUCAGGACGAACGCUGGCGGCGUGCCUAAUACAUGCAAGUAGAACGCUGAAGACUUUAGCUUGCUAAAGUUGGAAGAGUUGCGAACGGGUGAGUAACGCGUAAGCAACCUGCCCUUCAGAUGGGGACAACAGCUGGAAACGGCUGCUAAUACCGAAUACGUUCUUUCCGCCGCAUGACGGAAUGAAGAAAGGGAGGCCUUCGGGCUUUCGCUGGAGGAGGGGCUUGCGUCUGAUUAGCUGGUUGGAGGGGUAACGGCCCACCAAGGCGACGAUCAGUAGCCGGUCUGAGAGGAUGAACGGCCACAUUGGGACUGAGACACGGCCCAG